UCUUGGUCAUUUAGAGGAAGUAAAAGUCGUAACAAGGUUUCCGUAGGUGAACCUGCGGAAGGAUCAUUAGAGAAGCGCAUAUAUCCACUUACACCUGUGCACAAAGAGGUUAUUGACCUCAUUACACAUACACGUUGUUAUGCAUGUUUCCUUUAGAAUACAACUUUCAACAACGGAUCUCUUGGCUUUCGCAUCGAUGAAGAACGCCGCGAAAGUGCGAAACGUAAUGUGAAUUGCAGAAUUCAGUGAAUCAUCGAAUCUUUGAACGCAUCUUGCGCUCCUUGGUAUUCCGAGGAGCAUGCCUGUCUGAGUGUCGUGAAAUUAUCUCGACCACUGGUCGGAUGUGGACGUUGUUGUUGUUGUUGGCUUCAACUCGUCUUGAAAUUGAUUAGCGUCUUGUCCGGGUUUAGUGAACAGUGUAAUAAGUUGUAUUUCACUGUUUGGUUAAUACCCUAUAGGUCGCUUCUAAUAGGCCCACUUUUUUAAGUAAUGACCUCAGAUCAGGUAGGACUACCCGCUGAACUUAAGCAUAUCAAUAAGCGGAGGA
rnacentral:rRNA from 1 species